CCCUGAUGCAGCCAUGCCGCGUGUGUGAAGAAGGCCUUCGGGUUGUAAAGCACUUUCAGUAGGGAGGAAGGUAGUGCAGUUAAAACCUGCAUUAUUUGACGUUACCUACAGAAGAAGCACCGGCUAACUCCGUGCCAGCAGCCGCGGUAAUACGGAGGGUGCGAGCGUUAAUCGGAAUUACUGGGCGUAAAGCGCAUGCAGGCGGCCUGUUAAGUCAGAUGUGAAAGCCCGGGGCUUAACCUCGGAAUUGCAUUUGUAAACUAGGCAGGCUAGAGUCUUGUAGAGGGGGGUAGGAAUUUCAGGUGUAGCGGUGAAAUAGCGUAGAGAUCUGAAGGAAUACCAGUGGCGAAGGCGGCCCCCUGGACAAAGACUGACGCUCAGAUGCGAAAGCGUGGGGAGCAAACAGGAUUAGAUACCCUGGUAG
rnacentral:rRNA from 1 species